AUUGAACGCUGGCGGCAGGCUUAACACAUGCAAGUCGAGCGGAGAUGAGGUGCUUGCACCUUAUCUUAGCGGCGGACGGGUGAGUAAUGCUUAGGAAUCUGCCUAUUAGUGGGGGACAACAUUCCGAAAGGAAUGCUAAUACCGCAUACGCCCUACGGGGGAAAGCAGGGGAUCUUCGGACCUUGCGCUAAUAGAUGAGCCUAAGUCGGAUUAGCUAGUUGGUGAGGAAAUGGCUCACCAAGGCGACGAUCCGUAACUGGUCUGAGAGGAUGAUCAGUCACACUGGAACUGAGACACAGUCCAGACUCCGACGGGAGGCAGCAGUGGGGAAUAUUGGACAAUGGGCGAAAGCCUGAUCCAGCCAUGCCGCGUGUGUGAAGAAGGUCUUCGGAUUGUAAAGCACUUUAAGCGAGGAGGAGGCUACUGAGACUAAUACUCUUGGAUAGUGGACGUUACUCGCAGAAUAAGCACCGGCUAACUCUGUGCCAGCAGCCGCAGUAAAAC
rnacentral:rRNA from 1 species